rnacentral:rRNA from 1 species
GAUGAACGCUGGCGGCGUGCCUAAUACAUGCAAGUCGAGCGAACGGACGAGAAGCUUGCUCCUCUGAUGUUAGCGGCGGACGGGCGAGUAACACGUGGAUAACCUACCUAUAAGACUGGGAUAACUUCGGGAAACCGGAGCUAAUACCGGAUGAUAUUUUGAACCGCAUGGUUCAAAAGUGAAAGACGGUCUUGCUGUCACUUAUAGAUGGAUCCGCGCUGCAUUAGCUAGUUGGUAAGGUAACGGCUUACCAAGGCAACGAUGCAUAGCCGACCUGAGAGGGUGAUCGGCCACACUGGAACUGAGACACGGUCCAGACUCCUACGGGAGGCAGCAGUAGGGAAUCUUCCGCAAUGGGCGAAAGCCUGACGGAGCAACGCCGCGUGAGUGAUGAAGGUCUUCGGAUCGUAAAACUCUGUUAUUAGGGAAGAACAUAUGUGUAAGUAACUGUGCACAUCUUGACGGUACCUAAUCAGAAAGCCACGGCUAACUACGUG